rfam:Ricinus communis cultivar Hale ctg_1100012288414, whole genome shotgun sequence.
GGGUGCGAUCAUACCAGCACUAAUGCACCGGAUCCCAUCAGAACUCCGAAGUUAAACGUGCUUGGACGAGAGUAGUACUAAGAUGGGUGACCUCUUGGGAAGUCCUCGUGUUGCACCCC